GCUCACUUCAGCAGCAUACAGUAAAAUUGGAAUGAUACAGAAAAGACUAGCAUGGUCCCUGCACAAAGACACACAAAUCUGUGAAGCAUUCCAUAUUGAA
ensembl:snRNA U6 U6 spliceosomal RNA